rnacentral:rRNA from 1 species
GACGAACCGUGCGAACGUUGUUCGGAAUUACUGGGCGUAAAGCGCGCGUAGGCGGACCUGCAAGUCGGGGGUGAAAGCCCGAGGCUCAACCUCGGAACUGCCUUCGAUACUGCGGGUCUCGAGUCCGGGAGAGGUGAGUGGAAUUCCUAGUGUAGAGGUGAAAUUCGUAGAUAUUCGCAAGAACACCAGUGGCGAAGGCGGCUCACUGGCCCGAUACUGACGCUGAGGCACGAAAGCGUGGGGAGCAAACAGGG